UUUGUGUCACAUUUAGACAGAGAUAUUAGAAAAACAUAUACUGUAAUGUAAAAUUAUGAAAUUUGUGGAAUUCCACAAUAACGCGUUUAGAUCUCUUUCCCUCGACGACAAGAAAAAAAAUAGAUCUCUUUCCCUCAUUUAGAUCUCUUAUUUGGCUGAGUUUUUUUCCUUCUGCUCUAUUCUCUCACCAUUAUCUUUCACAGAGAAGGAGUUUUUCUCAACUUUUGAUGUAUAUUUCCGAUUAAUAUCGGAUUUCUCUUUUCGUUUAACGGAUAAUAACUUCUGAUCUAUUCGGAUCUUCUCCGCUUCCGUCUAUCGAUUUUCUUCUUUGCUGCUUUUGAUUGAUUUGUCUUCUAACAACUGUCGCUAAUCCUUAGUGGAGUGCAAAUUGUUAGAGAAAUCAGGUUUUUACUGAGAUAAAGCAAAGAAAUUUCGAUUUUCGGAUAGUGUUUUAGACUUUUUUUCUCCUCUACAGAUGAUUCCUCUUAAACUUGAGGUGGUGAUGAAAGGAUCCUGCGGUAAGAGUUGGGCUUCUUCUUCCGAACUUUGGCAUCAUCUUUCUCUCAGCUGGGAGACUAAAAUCUCCCCAGAUACCCUCAUAGAAGCCAUACAUGGCGAUGGAUAACAAGUCUAGCGUCAAAGAUGAUCGGCGGUGAGAUUUGAUCGGAGAAUUAAAAAUUCUGGCCAUUACUUUACGGAUUUAAUUGGAGGAUGAAAUAAACGAAAAAGAAACAAUGAUUUGAAGUGGAUGCAGAUUCGAUUGGAGUUAUCAUACUCUUCGGAUAUUCGAUUCUCCGGCGAAGCUUUGUUUCGGCGAUGAAUCACCGACAUCUUCUCUCCGGAAAUCGACAUUCAACCCAGGCUUGCCGCGUGUUGCACAUGUGUUUUAAUAUUAUCGAUCCGUAUCUCUUGUUUUUGGGCUAAGAUUGAUAUUUCGGCGUCUUAUUAUAAUAAGUGUGGGUCUCAAAUCUUCUGUAUUUUGUUCGUUUAAUAGGCUUAGACGACCAAAAAAAAAAGAUUUCUUAUUUGUGGCUGUCAUAUGACGGCAAACCGAAUCGAUAUAUAAUUCAAAAGUUAUUUUUUCCAUCGCUUUUGGUUGUUCAAUUGCUUUUCCGACAAUGAUACUUUUGUUGAUAAUUAGUUAAUUAUAUGAUAUUUCUGUGAUUUUUAAGAUAUAAAUAUUUAAUACGUGUUACUUGGG
rnacentral:lncRNA from 1 species